GAGUUUGAUCAUGGCUCAGAGCGAACGCUGGCGGCAGGCUUAACACAUGCAAGUCGAGCGGCCGUAGCAAUACGGAAGCGGCAGACGGGAGAGUAACACGUGGGAACGUGCCCUUUAGUUCGGAAUAGGCCAGGGAAACUUGGGUUAAUACCGGAUAAGCCCUAACGGGGAAAGAUUUAUCGCUAAAGGAUCGGCCCACGUCUGAUUAGCUAGUUGGUGAGGUAAUGGCUCGACCAAGGCGACGAUCAGUAGCUGGUCUGAGAGGAUGACCAGCCUCACUGGGACUGAGACACGGCCCAGACUCCUACGGGAGGCAGCAGUGGGGAAUAUUGGACAAUUGGGCGCAAGCCUGAUCCAGCCAUGCCGCGUGGGUGAUGAAGGCCCUAGGGUUGUAAAG
rnacentral:rRNA from 1 species